rnacentral:rRNA from 1 species
UGGGGAAUUUUGCGCAAUGGGCGCAAGCCUGAUCCAGCAAUGCCGCGUGUGUGAAGAAGGCCUGCGGGUUGUAAAGCACUUUCAGUAGAGAAGAAAAGCUCAUGGUUAAUACCCGUGAGUCUUGACGUAACCUACAGAAGAAGCACCGGCUAACUCCGUGCCAGCAGCCGCGGUAAUACGGAGGGUGCAAGCGUUGUCCGGAUUUAUUGGGUUUAAAGGGUGCGUAGGCGGUUUAUUAAGUCAGUGGUGAAAGCCCACAGCUCAACUGUGGAAUUGCCAUUGAUACUGGUAAACUUGAGUACAGACGAGGUAGGCGGAAUUUAUGGUGUAGCGGUGAAAUGCAUAGAUACCAUAAAGAACCCCGAUAGCGAAGGCAGCUUACUAGACUGUAACUGACGCUGAGGCACGAAAGCGUGGGGAGCGAACAGGAUUAGAUACCCCGGUAGUCC